rnacentral:lncRNA from 1 species
AGAAAAUAAAGUAACUGCAACUGCUCUAAAUUCUGCUGAGUGCCAAGCACUUUUCAUGUGGUGGGAGUUGAAGAUGGAUAUGAAUGGAAAGAUUGUGUUAAACUGUGCUCCAUAUUGGGCUCAUUCAAAUCCAUCAAACAUGCAGUGGAGAGAUCAUUGGAUGCAAGCUGUUUAUUAUUUACCAUCAAUACUGGAUAUAAGAAAAAAUGAAAAAUUUAUUCUUCAUUCCUAUCAUGAUGAAUACAGCUUAUGGUUUGAUGCUUAUAG